CCUGGCUUAGGAUGAACGCUAGCGACAGGCCUAACACAUGCAAGUCGGGGGGCAGCACAAGGAGCAAUCUGAGGUGGCGACCGGCGCACGGGUGAGUAACACGUAUGCAACCUGCCUGUAAGCGGGGAAUAACCCGUUGAAAGACGGACUAAUACCGCAUAAUACUAAAUUACUGCAUGGUAAUUUAUUUAAACAUUUAUGGCUUACAGAUGGGCAUGCGCAUGAUUAGCUAGUUGGAGAGGUAACGGCUCCCCAAGGCAACGAUCAUUAGGGGUUCUGAGAGGAAGGUCCCCCACACUGGUACUGAGACACGGACCAGACUCCUACGGGAGGCAGCAGUGAGGAAUAUUGGUCAAUGGACGAGAGUCUGAACCAGCCAAGUCGCGUGCAGGAAGAAUGUCCCUAUGGAUUGUAAACUGCUUUUGCAGGGGAAUAAAGUGCAUCACGUGUGAUGUUUUGUAUGUACUCUGCGAAUAAGGAUCGGCUAACUCCGUGCCAGCCGCGGC
rnacentral:rRNA from 1 species